GUACUUCCUGACACCACGGAAAUGUGGACUUUUUGGUGUCUCUUGUGAAGGCCUGCAGAAACAGGUAGUGGAAAACAGCUCUCCUGAAAGUCAUCUCAACAUCCCACAGCUGGUCGGACUGGAAGAUGGCAACACGUUUGACUGGCAGGUACACCUGAGUCCCUACUUCUGAAAGCUCCCACAGAUCAAGAGUUAUCAGCACUUCAGUAACAGCUUUGAUGCAAAAAGACCUGGUGUGGUCCUAGCUAGGACUGACAGCGACGCAGAGCCUGUUAGCUUUCAGCUGAUGUGUGACCCGGGAGUUCUACCCCUGUCGUCUGUGUUCCGGUCCUGCCUGCACCUGGACUGGCCACGGACAGGCAGACUUAUCUUUAUUCAAAGAUCAGGCCUUUCUGUUCCGAUGAAGCGAAGGACGUUACA